rnacentral:misc_RNA from 1 species
GUAACUUGAGAAUCUUGCCCUAAAUAUAAAAGGUGAACAACUGGUGCUUUAUGUUCAGUGACAACUUUAAGCACAGAGGCCCUUUGAACGUCCCAUACAGUGUAAUGCCCAUCACCAUAUCCGGCAAAGAGCAUGUCCCCUUGCUGAUUAAAGCUCAAGCAAGUUACAGGGGCAUGGGAUUUAUCUCCCGAUAAUCCAAAUAUCAACAUCUUAGCAUCCAUGUUAUCCGCAUGAUGUGAGGAGGAGUAUCUGCUUGGCAUCACAAGAAUUGAUCCUUUGGACAUUCCCACAGCAAUGUAUUUGAGGUGAACUGCCAGGACCUGUGAAGAUCCAUGCUCACGCCUAAAAGCUUGAGAUAAUAGGGUUUGGGUGAUGGUAUUGUUCUCAUCUACAUCAAAGUAACCCAGGACAUUAGAACUCCUAUGAACUCCAUCAAGCCUCAUUGGUUG